CAGUAUGUGAUUGAAUCCCACCUGCAUCAGUCUGGAAGGGGUCAUUGCUGUGCCAGCUCAGCAGGAAUCAGGUGACUGAAGUGGCCAAUCAGGUUUAUUCCUGCUCCUAUUAAAACUUCUUCUGGCUUGGCUCCUCCAUCUGUAGACUAGAUCUGAAAGCCCAUUUCCAUCAACACCAACAACAGCUGGAUAUGAAUUUAUAAUUUAUUUUGAGCCCUGCAUGUAAGUGA